UUUCGGUAGGCUAGGAAGCAUUUCUUUUACUCUUCUAUGUCUAUUAAGUGUUUUGAUCCUUGCGCCGAUUCUCGUCUUUCGUCUUUUGUUUUGUGUGUCGAGCGAGUUUGGAAAUAAGGUUCCCGGUUGGCUUUGUAUGAAGAAGCCUAUCUUUCUAGCCCUAAGUGAGCCAUAGAUUGUGAGUGAGCUUUCGAGGAGUAGAGAUCGAGCGUAGAAAUACCAGUGGAUCAAUUUUUCUUUAUUCAAUAUAAUUAUAGAAAGGAUAAAGCGGAACAGACGCUUCUCGCAAACAGCAACUAUCCAUAGCGAGAGAGAUCCCUUGUCUUUGUCGCCUACCUCUCUAUAGAAUAGCACGAUAGAAGCCCUAACCUAUAGCAACUGUAAAUAUCGAAUCAAGUCUCCGCUCUUUAGAUCAGUCCAUCCGUAGUUGAGGAAUUCCGGUAAAUUUUUCCUAAAAGUAUAUGACCUUCCCCUCCCAUAAGGAGAGUUUGUUGUUCCUUUUCUAACAAGGAUGAUGAGCGACAAUGACAUGAAUUCCAUACUAAUAAAAAAGGUAAGCCCGCCGCUGAAAGAGACCGAAGAAGGUUCAACUAGCGCUUAGAGUUCGGUGCGAGGAUCAACUCCGUACCCUUCCUUCAGAUAGUUACCGCUUUGCACGAGCUGAGACAGUGUAGAUAGAUCCGGAUAAGGCAAAGAUCACAUUCCUACUGCUAUAAC
rnacentral:lncRNA from 1 species